rnacentral:lncRNA from 1 species
AGUUCUACUUUCAGUACUACAUGAUUGAGUUGCAGAGAUGCAGAACAAAACAGCCUGCUCCAAAACGUGUAGGAGAGGAGAAACAGAAGAGGAAAACAAACAGAAACUCGGAAAACAUCCCUCACUCUGUUUGGAUACUGCAGAUGUACUUACUUGUUUCAGAUGAAGAGCAUGCAAAUUAUUGCAGGACUCAUUCUUUCCUGGUGGAAACCUGACCAGGGGUGUUCCGUGGUGUCCAGCAGCACUUCUGAUUGCUGUAUUCCGUCUGUCAGAAGGGCUGGACCAACUAUAUUGAGAAUUUUUCAUACUUAACAGUGAAACAUUUAGGUAUAAACUAAACAGUGGUAACCUCUGAUAGCAUCUAUUUUGUGAUGCUUGAUUCCCUGCUUAUCUCUCCAGGCCAGAACACAAAACAUUUCCAUUGCUUUUUGAAAAAAAUGUCUGACUAGAAACAUAUCAAAUUUAUAACUGAUUCUUUCAUUAUUAAAGGAAGAGGAAAUUCACUGCCCUGAUGUCAGAGACCUGCUUUCCAGCGUUCAUGAUGAGAAUCAAAUAUUAAAAGGGAAUUCACAUAUUUUUAUACCCAUGUGAGAGGCUUCUUUCUUUGCAAGCUUUGUCCCCAAAAAAUCUAGCUAUGCAAAAGGAGUGCAACAGUUUGUUGUGUGUUUUUCCUUGGAUAGCCAUGGAAUUGUGAACUGUUUGUUUUAAAAUACCAGAAUCGUGUCAAACUGGAAUGUUUUAAUGCCUGUUUGUACAUUUGCUCAUCCAUGUCCACACUCUCACUGAGUGUCAGUAACAUACGUGCACAAGUGUUAGAAGAAUCAUGCUCUCCAAUUGGGCAUAAAUUGUGAUUUUUUCCCAGUAUUGCCUGUAACACUUUGCUCUUUCAAAGGCUCUUCAUCUUGAAAGAAAUCAAGUGUUAGUCGAAAUAUAUCAUUUUCAAAGCUCUUUACUGUGAGGGUGGCGAGGCACUGGAACAGGUUGCCCAAAGAAGUGGUAAAUGCUCCAUCCCUGGCAGUGUUCAAGGCCAGGUUGGACACAGCCUUGGCAACAUGGUCUGGUGUGAGGUGUCCCUGCCCAUGGCAGGGGGGUUGGAACUAAAUGAUCUUAAGGUCUUAAGAUCCUUUCCAACCCAAACCAUUCUGUGAUUCUAUACUGAAACAGUCGGGAAAAGGAUGUUAAUUGUAGGAACAGUAUCGUCUGUAUAUUGACGUAUGCGCAGCAUUCUUUUACACAGUUGAAAAUGUUUUGUUGUAUUUUAUGUUCAUUUUAAACAUUGCUUGGUUUAGCGUUGUUAAAUACAUCAGUAAUCUUACACUUGUUAAAAUUUCUUUUCCUAAAGCAAUUUUAACUAAGCAGUAGCUAAGGAACUUGAAGUAAUCGGUUCAUCACCUACCGAUUACAUUCUUAUGAAGCAAAUACAUUUUUUGAGUCAAAGUGGGGUGUGUAGUGCCAUCAGUUUGGGGCUCAAACUAAGUGUCCUGAUGCUAUCAGUCAUGCUGCUGAUUUGCCAAAUGAAGUAAUAGAAAGUAAUAUAUGGUUCUUCCUCCUGAAGCGGCUUUCCUGGUUUGGGGGGGUUAGCUUAGUAUAUUAAUUAUCUGUUACUUGAACAAACCUGUCUUCAUAUGAAUUGUGAAAAUGCAUGAGUGAAUGACUUAAUGGCAUAAAUACAUCACCAACCACUUAC